rnacentral:SRP_RNA from 1 species
GCCGGGUGUGGUGGCGCACGCCUGUGAUCUCAGCUACUCAGGAGGCUGAGGCAGGAGAAUAGCUUGAACCUGGGAGAUGGAGGUUGCAGUGAGCCGGGAUCACGCCACUGCACUCCAGCCUGGGUAACAGAGCAAGACUCUGUCUCAA